rnacentral:rRNA from 1 species
AUGUUGACAAAGGCGCAAUUUAUCGCCCUGUCGAAAGAAAAGCAAGGCGGAUCCACGAGCAGUGGCAAGAAGAAGGGGAAGGGGAAGCAGCGCUCGGCGAGAAAGAACUUCGCCGACUCGGACGACGAGGAUGCGCCUGCACCACCGAGGAGGAAGUUUGACAUUAGAAAAGUGAGGUGUCAUAAGUGUGGCCUCCUCGGUCACUUCAAGGCUAACUGCGAGGAAGCACCGAAGCAACAGGCGCUCAUGGCCGAGGAAGGAGAUGACGGGGAUAUGAUGCUGAUGUGCGAGCUAGUGGACGAAGAGGAUCCAGAUGAUCACGAUCAACUGGAGACAGGUCCGGUGAGUGCAUCCGCGCCAGUAACCCCAGGCGAAGUCGUGGCGCCAGAAGACCAUGAUGUAAGGUGUGACGGUGUGGUCAUGCCAGUAAACCAAGGCGAAGUCUUGGCGCCAGAAGACCAUGAUGUAAGGUGUGACGGUGUGGUCAUGCCAGUAAACCCAGGCGAAGUCGUGGCGCCAGAAGACCAUGAUGUAAGGUGUGACGGUGUGGUCAUGCCAGUAAACCAAGGCGAAGUCUUGGCGCCAGAAGUCCGCAACAUGAUGCGUGAUGAUGUGGUCACGCUAGAAGUAGGCGAAGUUGUGGUGCCAGAAGUCCACGACACAGUGCAUGACGGUGUAAUCAAAGAAGGCGAAGACGUGGCGUCAGAUGACCACGAUACGCGGCAAGCUGCACUCAGGCCAGACCAGCAUGACACAUACACGGUGUCAACUGAUGCAACGAACAGCAGGAACGUCGCAUGCGGCGGGCGCGUGACAGAAGUGCCAGGAGACCAAGACACGUGUGGUGAUCCGCCAACUUCGGCCAGUCCGUGUGCAAAGGAAGUUGUACGCGCCGCAGGAAGUAACUCAUGCGCUAGCUCACACAAGCAGGCGGCCAACAUGUAUGUAGGCAGCAGCAGCGACGGAGCUUCUGCAUGGCCUCGUACUGCUCCGCAUGAGCCAGAAGGAACGGGCCACUACAAGCUGCAUGCAACAGCCCCAUCAAGGAACCAACGUGAUGGCCUAGUGGAUGGACUACAAGGUGGGCAACGUCUAAGAAAAAAAGACGUGCCUCGAACAAGCAGCCCAUCUAGUGUUGUAGAUUCUCUGAAGAGCAGUUUGGGUGCGACUAAAAUGCCAGAACAGGGAAGUUUGGCAACUUCAGAAGAAGUGACGUCUUCGAUAGCAUUGGAGACAGAAGAAUGGACAAUCUCUUCACAGAAAGCGCUUCGAAUAAAUUCGGUGAAGAUGAAGAGUAAAGGGCAACGAUGUUUACACGUUGAGGAACCGGAAAAUUUUGAAGACGCAAAGACGGAAGAGUGUUGGCGUCGUGCUAUGGAUGAAGAGUUGAGGUCGAUCCGAGACAACAAAGUAUGGGAGCUCGCGGAUUUUCCCGACGGACAUAAUGCCAUAGAGCUCAAGUGGGUGUACAAAGUCAAGAAGCAUGCGGAAGGGAACUUGGUGAAGCAUAAAGCAAUGCUCGUGGCUAAAGCAGACGUGCAAGAGCAAGGUGUGGACUUCGAAGAAGUGUUCGCUCCAGUUGCAAAGAUGGACUCGGUGAGGCUACUAAUAGCUCUCGCGGCUCAAGAAUCUUGGAGGCUACAUCACAUGGAUGUGAACUUCCCGUUUUUGACUGGAGAGUUAGAAGAAGAAGUAUAUGUGAAGCAACCACCAGGGUACAUCAAAGAAGGAGAGGAACACAAGGUAUUGAAGCUACACAAGGUGUUGUACGGGCUACGACAAGCUCCUCGGGCAUGGGACACCAAGCUUGACCGUACAUUGAUUUCUCUUGGAUUUGAGAAAUCCCCACUAGAGCAUACGAUGUAUAAGCGAGGUAAAGGCAAGGAUCGUCUGUUAGUGGGCAUCUAUGUGGAUGAUCUGUUGAUAACUGGAGAAGACGAAGAGGUGAUUGCAAACUUCAAGCUACAAAUGAAGGAGCUAUUCAAGAUGGCUGAUCUAGGGCUCUUGAGUUACUACCUUGGGAUCGAGGUACAACAAAAGCCGGAGGAGAUCACUAUAUGCCAGGAGGCAUAUGCAAAGAAGUUACUUGAAAGUUGUGGCAUGAAAGAUUGCAAUCCAAGUCAUGUUCCGAUGAAGCCUCGUCUUAUACUAAGCAAGAAAAGUGAAGCACCCGCGGUUGAUGCAACGGAGUAUAGAAGUAUGGUCCGAAAGUUGAGGUAUCUCACGAAUACAAGACCAGACUUGGCCUAUUCCGUUGGCAUAGUGAGUCGCUUCAUGGAAGCACCCACGAUGGAACAUUGGGUAGCCGUGGAACAUAUACUCAGGUACAUCAAAGGGACAACAAACUUCGGUUGUGUCUAUUUGAGAGAGAAGAAGAAGGAGAUGGUGGAGCUACUUGGCUAUAGUGAUAGCGACUUGUCAGGAGAUGUGGACGACCGUAAAAGUACCUCGGGCGUGGCAUAUUUCUUGGGAGGAAGCAUAGUAAGUUGGCUAUCACAAAAGCAGAAGGUGGUCGCAUUAUCAUCUCGUGAAGCGGAGUAUAUUGCAGCGGUAACCACGGUAUGUCAAAGCGUUUGCCUAGGAAGGCUAUUCAGUGACCUCACAGGUAAGGAACCGGAAGGAGUGGUGCUCAACGUUGACGACAAGUCUACAAUCUCUCUAUGGAAAUCAAAUGCAUCAUGGUGGAUGCAAGCACAUCGAUACGAGGUAUCGGUACCUAAGGGAGUGCGUGGAAGAAAGCAAGAUCGACGUCAACUACGUUUGCACUGA